rnacentral:tRNA from 1 species
AGGGGAGUAGCUCAACUGGCAGAGUAGUGGACUCCAAAUCCAUUGGUUGCAAGUUCAAGUCAUGUCAACAGAACCA